UCUUUUUAAAUAUGUUGACUUUUGUGUUGAUUUCUCUUUAAGAAGUUGCUUUCCUAAACUGUCCAAGACUCAAAUGAAUUAACUGUAGCUUGAAUCAUCGGAUGAGGAGAUCAAGAGUGCUUUGCAACAUUGGAGGUUCUUGUUCAUCAAAAGUGCUUAUGAGGAGAACAAUAGUGCUUUGGUUCAAAUAUCGGAGGUUCUUGUUCAUCAAAAGUUCUUAUUU
rnacentral:lncRNA from 1 species